rnacentral:rRNA from 1 species
GAUCCUGGCUCAGAGCGAACGCUGCGGCAGGCCUAACACAUGCAAGUCGAACGAACCUUUCGGGGUUAGUGGCGGACGGGUGAGUAACACGUGGGAACGUGCCUUUAGGUUCGGAAUAACUCAGGGAAACUUGUGCUAAUACCGAAUGUGCCCUUCGGGGAAGGAUUAUCGCCUUUAGAGCGGCCCGCGUCUGAUUAGCUUAGUUGGUUGAGGUAAUGGCUCACCAAGGCGACGAUCAGUAGCUGGUCUGAGAGGA